AAAGACCCUUAAAGAAAAAGAGAAACAGUAGGAUUACAGAAGAACUUUAGAACUGAGAAAAGGAAGUCGAAGUAAGUUCUCAAGUAAUACUGAAUGAACUGCUCUUGUCACACCCAGUGGCUGGUUGACCCUAGGAGCACUUUUAAAUGCUCACUCCUCUGUUCUUCUCCUGGACCCAGUGCAGAGCCUCGGUGGACCCUGCUGGCCUUUCAUUACAUGAGACAGAUACUGGAAGCUCUACGCUAUUGUCACGAUAAUAACAUAAUUCACAGGGAUGUGAAGGUCAGGAGACCCGUCAGGAAAACCGACAGGAUGGAGGAAACUUUUUUCCUUCUCCAGCAUCUUCCUGUUCUCCCCAAAGAAUAGAAACUCACUUCCAGGAGGAGUACUCCAUCCUUCAUUUUGCUGUUCUAGUCUUAAUUGUUCAUGUUCCUGAUUAAUAGUUUGCAGGUUGCCUUAAUGGGAGUGUAUAUGUGAAAGGAUAAAGGGGGAAAUAAACCUUUGUCAUGCCUGUUAAGACACAAUCU
rnacentral:lncRNA from 1 species